AUCCAGCUAUGGAGAAAGCCGCAGAUCUGCAGGACACAGACUCGUUAACUCUGUAAGUGCCACGAGGAUUGGGGCAAGGGGAGGAAAGAAUUGGAGGCAGGGAAGCGCUUCACUGCCAUUAGCACCUAAAGGAGAUCCUGGGACCCAAGUCCAGCUGCCAGCUUGUACCUGCUUCCCCUGCCUCCUUGCAGGAAGUUUAAGUUUAACCCGAAGCUGGGCAUUGAUAAUCCCGUCCUCUCCCUGGCCGAUGACCACGACCCCUAUGGUAACUCCCUCACCCCCUGGCAACCAUUCCCUUUCCCUGGAGGCACCACGGCUCCACACGGCCUCCGAUCUCCUUGGUAACCACUCACUCGGUCUCCCUCUGAUGACAGCCUUGGUUGGGAGUAGAGAUAGGAGGGACCGGGCAUUUUCUCCUGUCCCAGUCCCUCUGCCCACCAACCCCACCACCCAACACCCAACCAGGCAGAAACUGCCCAGCACCCUAUCAGGACACAGGGUCUGCCAGGCACACGGCGAACCUGUACUUGGGCUGUGCCCUCUCCUCCCCCUUUUCUGCUGCCCAC
rnacentral:sRNA from 1 species